ACGCUGGCGGCGUGCUUAACACAUGCAAGUCGAACCAUUAUAUUUAGAAUGAGAGCUUCGGCAGGAUUUUUAUCUAUCUUAGUGGCGGACGGGUGAGUAACGUGUGGGCAACCUGCCCUGUACUGGGGAAUAAUCAUUGGAAACGAUGACUAAUACCGCAUGUGGUCCUCGGAAGGCAUCUUCUGAGGAAGAAAGGAUUUAUUCGGUACAGGAUGGGCCCGCAUCUGAUUAGCUAGUUGGUGAGAUAACAGCCCACCAAGGCGACGAUCAGUAGCCGACCUGAGAGGGUGAUCGGCCACAUUGGGACUGAGACACGGCCCAAACUCCUACGGGAGGCAGCAGUGGGGAAUAUUGCACAAUGGGCGAAAGCCUGAUGCAGCAACGCCGCGUGAAGGAUGAAGGGUUUCGGCUCGUAAACUUCUAUCAAUAGGGAAGAAACAAAUGACGGUACCUAAAUAAGAAGCCCCGGCUAACUACGUGCCAGCAGCCGCGGUAAUACGUAGGGGGCAAGCGUUAUCCGGAAUUACUGGGUGUAAAGGGAGCGUAGGCGGCAUGGUAAGCCAGAUGUGAAAGCCUUGGGCUUUAACCCGAAGAAUUGCAUUUUGAAACUAUCAAGCUAGAGUACAGGAGAGGAAAGCGGAAUUCCUAGUGUAGCGGUGAAAUGCGUAGAUAUUAGGAAGAACACCAGUGGCGAAGGCGGCUUUCUGGACUGAAACUGACGCUGAGGCUCGAAAGCGUGGGGAGCAAACAGGAUUAGAUACCCUGGUAGUCCACGCCGUAAACGAUGAGUGCUAGGUGUCGGGGAGGAAUCCUCGGUGCCGCAGCUAACGCAAUAAGCACUCCACCUGGGGAGUACGACCGCAAGGUUGAAACUCAAAGGAAUUGACGGGGGCCCGCACAAGCGGUGGAGCAUGUGGUUUAAUUCGAAGCAACGCGAAGAACCUUACCAAGGCUUGACAUCCCGAUGACCGUCCUAGAGAUAGGACUUCUCUUCGGAGCAUCGGUGACAGGUGGUGCAUGGUUGUCGUCAGCUCGUGUCGUGAGAUGUUGGGUUAAGUCCCGCAACGAGCGCAACCCUUAUCUUCAGUACCCAUCAUUCAGUUGGGCACUCUGGAGAGACUGCCGUGGAUAACACGGAGGAAGGUGGGGAUGACGUCAAAUCAUCAUGCCCCUUAUGUCUUGGGCUACACACGUGCUACAAUGGCUGGUAACAAAGUGAUGCGAGACGGCGACGUUAAGCAAAUCACAAAAACCCAGUCCCAGUUCGGAUUGUAGUCUGCAACUCGACUACAUGAAGCUGGAAUCGCUAGUAAUCGCGAAUCAGCAUGUCGCGGUGAAUACGUUCCCGGGCCUUGUACACACCGCCCGUCACACCAUGGGAGUUGGAAGCACCCGAAGUCGGAGACCUAACCGUAAGGAAGGAGCCGCCGAAGGUG
rnacentral:rRNA from 1 species